rnacentral:rRNA from 1 species
UACGGAGGGUGCAAGCGUUAUCCGGAUUCACUGGGUUUAAAGGGUGCGUAGGUGGGUUGGUAAGUCAGUGGUGAAAUCUCCAGGCUUAACUUGGAAAACUGCCAUUGAUACUAUCACUCUUGAAUACCGUGGAGGUCAGCGGAAUAUGUCAUGUAGCGGUGAAAUGCUUAGAUAAUGACAUAGAACACCAAUUGCGAAGGCAGCUGGCUACACGA